UGGGGAGAGAUUAAAUGUCCAGCAAACGACGGCAAUGUUGCCAGAUUCCUUUUAGCGGGAAUUUUAAAAUGGUUUUAAAUUUGACAGUUCUGUUUUCUCAAGUCAAAGUCAAAAAUCUUAACCUUACUUUUACAAGUGAUUAGGAUUAUUAUUAUUUUAUUUACAUGUAAAUUGAAACAAUAAAUAUUGUGCUGUGUCAUAAUUUCAAACUCAUUAUGUUGCAGUCUUUUCCAGUUGAUAAAAUUGCAAUUCAAAAACUUUAGAUUUGCACUGUAUGGAUGAUGGCACAGGAAGAGAACAAGAGUACAAGAACAUGAAACAUCUUAUUAUGAAUGUAUAUGUAUGUGAUCCUCAAAAAAUUAUUUUACAAAACAAGAUAGAGAAAGAGCUUUAAAAUCCCAAGGAUCCUGCAAUUUUUAUUUGGUGUACUAGUCGAAUAAUAGUAUCUAAAAAUAUUGAAACUAUUUUAAAACAUAUUACGGACACGAGGAUGAUAUAGAGCACUUACAUAAAUACCAAAAUCAGAUAAACAUCUCUUCAAAGUUUAUUUUGAGACUUUCUUCAAAAAUUAAACUUCAGACUGUUCAGGAUAGCAUAAUAGCAUAGGAGGCGAAUUAAAAAGAAUUAACUUACUUACAAGAAAAGAUAUCACAAACAUUAGACUCUCUUAUGGCAUUGAUUUGAAAGAUGGGUAUAUGUACAAUGACGAUGCAACCAGUGUUUAUUUUUGGGUUGAAUGCUUACAGACUCAUGUCCAAUAUUAUUUUACAAACAACAGGGCAUACUAAUGGAUAUUCAUUCUGAAUUUAACAUUUAUGAUUUUUGUCUUAUUUUCCUUAAUACUGUGCCAAAAGGAAAUGUUAAUUAAGUUUGGUAAAUCCUUUAUCGCAAUCGAUGGAACUCAUGGGCUCAAUUCCUAUGACUUUGAACUUAUGACAGUAUUAGUAAAAGAUGAAUUUGGGAAUGGAUUUUGUACUGCUUUCUUAUUUUCAAAUAGAAAAGAUACCUACUUUAAUUUACCAAUUUUUUUAAAUACAUGUCUGUGUUGGUAUUAUAUGUAUAGUCAAAUGUUUUCAUAUCGGGCAUAAGUGACACCUUUUACAAUGCCUCGUCAAAUGUAAUGGGUAUUGCUCCUAAUAGACUGUUAAGUGCCUGGCACAUAAAUAGGGCAUGGUAAGUAAAUCUUGAAUAAAAUAUCUGAUUCUGAAAAAAAUCCUAUUAUGUAUACAAGAUGUAUUAAUGAUGGUUUAGAGAGUAUUAAUAGCUUUUUGGGUAGACUUCUAAGUGAUGCAGAUACAUACAAUUUUAGUAAGUAUUUCCAGUAGAACUACUGCAAUAACAUCCAACAAUGGGCGUAUUGUUAUAGGAAGGGGUUGUGGAAUUAAUACCAAUAUGACCAUUCAAAAUUUUCAUAAAAUUUUGGAUAAAAGGGUAUCCAUUAGUUGUUAUCAGUUAAGUUUAAAACUUGGCACUCAUGGAGAGCUAUACCAUAAUAUAUAAUAGGUAUAUCUCAUAAUAUUACAUCUCAUAUUGCUCACUCAUUACAAUAGUGAGCAAUAUGAGAUAUAACAUAUUAUAGUAUAAGUCUCUGUGCAUGACCAGAUUAACAUGUUUGGUGCCCAUCUCAAACAAGCUCCACUUGGCUGGUACCACAUACUUAAAUCAUUUAUUUAGUUACACAGUACUACUCACAUAACUUAUGUGUCGUCAGUACCUUCCGUAAAACCUUCGUGAUGCUACCCAUACGUCAUGGCCACUGAAUGUGUUAAAGCUUGUUAAUGUAGGAGAGUUAUACUAAAAUAUAUAUCUUAUAUUAUAUUGCCUUAAAUAGAAAAAAUAUCUUAUUUAAAUUGUAUCCAUGUAAGUUUUGAUUUAAUGAAAUAAACCUUUUAAUCAAAAAAGUGUUGUUUACUUGUGUACACCCAGCAAUAUCCUGAUCAUAGAUAAAUAAUAAUAUAGUAUUACCGGAUCCUGAUAUGCAGACGCCAAUAGGGCUUUUCAUUGAUUGUCAUUUGUUUCGAGCUUCUGUCAUGAGUCACAUAAUAUUAAUGUAUCUACGUCAUA
rnacentral:lncRNA from 1 species